UUAUAGCAAUAGAAUUUCAUUUGGGCUCCAAUUCAAUUCCUUUUCGAAAAGGGAUUUAGCACCGUGGGAGUCGUAGAUCCUUCUGGAGCUAUUCCUAUCAUUCAUGGUCUGAAUAGGAAAAAUCGAAAUUUGACCUACAUAUCAAUUAAAUACUCAUCAUCAUUAUGAUCAUACUGGUAGUGGUGGGAACAUAUACGGAGUCAAAAGCAAGGUCACAUUAACUUCUACUUUCUGGGAUCAAGGGCAAUUUUUACUGGGGACAUUUUGUUCAGCUUAUCCCGUGGCAAGCUUUUCGAAGGAACUCCUGACCAGGGUAUUCUGCGUCAACUAUAGCUGUGAUAUAUGCAUGCAAGUUAUGUUAUCUAAGGGAGUGAUCGAUGACACACCAAUCUUCGUCUUUGGAAAGCUAAAGCAUCUGAACAAAUGGGAGUACGUGAAGCACAAUUUAUAGAUCAAGAAGGCUGAAUACAAUCUAGAGAUACAAUUUAAGUCAGCCAAGGAGGCCAUCCAUGUCAAUGGAGAUCUGAUUUACAUUUUAUUCCAAACACAGAACUGGGAUUUCAUCAUCACUGAAAUACACCGGUCCAACCAAGAUAAUCUUCAUUCUUUGCCUUUGUAGUUCCCAAUUCUAUGACAGAUUUUCCUUAUUCUUCACAAGUAAUGGUGGAUUUCAGCUCUUGAUGAGUACUCAUCUCUGUAAUUCCCAUUUCCGAUUUUCCUUGCAACUCUUGGUGGGACAUAUCUGCAAAAUGCUCCUCCCGCCUGAAAGAUUUCAGGUCUAGACAAGAUAAAUAAUCUUCAUCCUUGCGUCUACAAUUUCCAAUUCCAUGUCAGAUUUUCCUUGUUCUUCACAAGUAAUGGUGGAUUCCAGCUCUUGAUGAGUACUCAGGACUAUAUUUCCCAUGUCCGAUUUGUCUUGCAGCUCUUGGUUGGAUAUAUUUGCAAAAUGCUCCUCCUACUCUUCAUGAUCACUGAAAGAUUUCAGGUCCAGCCAAGAUAAUAAUCUUCAUCCUUAGCGUCUGCAAUUUUCAAUUCCAUAUCAGAUUUUCCUUGUUCUUCACAAGUAAUGGUGGAUUUCAGCUCUUGAUGAGUAUUCAGGUAUUCUUGCAGCUCUUGGUGGGACAUAUUUGCAAAAUGCUCCUUUUGCUUUUCAUGAUCACCGAAAGAUUUCAGGUCCAACCAAGAUAAAUCAUCCUUCGUGUUUGCAGUUUCCAAUUCCAUGUCAGAUUUUCCUUGUUCUCCACAAGUAAUGGUGGAACUUUCUGUAAAAUUGCCAGUGCCUUCAUACUCCUGCUUCCCUUCUUCCUUGCUUUUCUUACUAUUAUCCCUUAUUCGGCAAAGGACCCAUUUUUGGAACUGCAGUCAUGGAUAUGUUUGUGUAUAUGGUAGACAUGAAUGAGCGUGAUAGAUAUUACUUUGUAGAAAGAAAGAAUAAAUCUGCAGUUGGGAAUGGUAUAACCUCAAAACGGGUAAUUGAAUGUGGAGGAUGGUGGAGGGCCAGCAACAAUAAGCUCAUUGUAGACAAGCCAGGCAAUUGAAGAAGUGAAUCAAAACUGACUGGAUCAUGCAUGAGUACAAGCUCAAAGAGAAUACGAAUCCAGGAUGGGAGUAAAAGCAUAAACAAGAAACAUGAAGGCACUGAGAAUUUGCAGCUGCAAAUUAGUCCCAUCAAUAUUAAUAGCUUCAAUCAAACAGAUCAAUACCUUAGUACUUGUGGUUACUUGGAGCCAGGUACUAGCAGUUGGAUAUAGGUUUGAACCAACAGAUGAAGAACUCAUUUCUGGUUAAUUGAAGAGGAAGCUUAAUGGUGAACAAGAACUGCCAUCAUGCUGUCAUUGAUAUGGACAUCUAUGCAUGUGAACCGUGGUUGCUUUCAUAAGAAACCUACUGGAAAGAGAUGUGAAAUGGAAGUUUGAUGUUUAUAUUGGAAGGCCAGCAGCAGAGACAAAUGUAUUCGAAACAGCGAAUGUCUGAAUGUCAUCGCUACCUCAUAACCUUAACAUUUUUCAAGUACAAGAACAAGAAUCGGAAUUGUCAAGAAUGCAUCAAAACUGAUUGGAUCAUGCAUGAGUAGAGUCUUUCAAGAGAAACGUUCCAAAAAAGGGUCUUUUGCCAAAUAAGGGAUAAUAGUAAGAAAGCACAGAAGAAGGAAAGCAGAAGUAGAAUGAAGGCACUGACGAAAAUUCCCCCAUUACUUGUCUAGAAUGAGCCUAUUGUUGGUGGUCCUCCACCAUCCUCCACAUUCAACUGCCUGUUUUGAGGUUAUACCAUUCCCAGCUGCAGAUUUGUUCUUUCUUUCUACAAAGUAAUAUCUAUCACGCUCAUUCAUGACUAUCAUAUCAUGAUCUGCUACCCAAACAUAUGCAUGACUGCAGUUCCAAAAUUGGGUCCUUUGUCGAAUAAGAGAUAAUAGUAAGAAAAGCAAGGAAGAAGGAAAGAAAAAGAAUGAAGGCACUGACGAUUUUAUGGAAAGUUCCACCAUUACUGGUGAUGAACAAGAAAAAUCUGACAUGGAAUUGGAAACUGCAAACGCGAAGGAUGAUUUAUCUUGGCUGGACCUGAAAUCUGUCGGUGAUCAUGAAGAGCAGGAGGAGCAUUUUGAAAAUAUGUUCCACUAAGAGCUGCAAGAAUAGACCCGAGUACUCAUCAAGAGCUGAAAUCCACAAUUAAAUGUGGAUAACAAGGAAAAUCUGAUAUGGAAUUGAAAACCGUAGACGCUAAGGAUGAAGACAAUUUAUCUUGGCUAGACCUGAAAUCUUUAAGUGAUCAUGAAGAUCAGGAGAGGCAUUUUGCAAAUAUAUCCCACCAAGAGCUGUAAGAAAAUCGGACAUGGGAAUCAUAGACCCGAGUACUCAUUAAGGGCUGAAAUCCACCAUUACUCGUGAAGAACAAGAAAAAUCUGAGAUGGAAUUGAUAACUGUAGACGCGAAGGUUGAAGUAUACUUAUCUUGUCUAGACCUGAAAUCUUUUAGUGUGCAUUUUGCAUAUAUGUCCCAACAAGAGCUGUGAGGAAAAUGGGACAUGGGAAUUACAGAGAUGAGUACUCAUCAAGAGUUGAACUCUACCAUUACUUGUGAAGGACAAGGAAAAUAUGUCAUGGAAUUGGAAACUGGAUGAAGAUUGAUUGGACCUGAUAUUUCAAGUGAUGAUGAAAUCCCAUUUGUAGCAUCGCAUUACAAAAUUGGUGAUGGUUCUUGUGUGAAAUUAUUUUUGAAUCCUUGGUGUAAUGGACAGACUUUGAUUAAGCUGUUUUCUCACAGGAUCUAUAGAGUUUUAAAUCUUCCAAAAGAUGCUGAUAUUAGUGCUAUCAUCAGGAAUGGUAUGUGGCAGAUUCCAAUUCCAUUCUCUUCUAUUCUACAACAGUUUUCCAACUACAUUCUUUAUGUUCCUAUUUAUUCUGGCCAGGAUAAAUUGGAGUGGGAUGAGGGUGUGUUUUCAUUCUAGAGGGUUUGGAAUAGUGGAGAUCUCACAAGCCUAAAGUGGACUGGUUCAGCCUGUGUUGGAGUGGAGGCAGGCCUAGGGUUUCAGUUUUUUGUCGCCUGUGUUUCCAUGAUAAGCAUUUAUCCUUCCGUAAUCUGAGGAAAAGAGGCAUUACUAUUGUUUAUAUCUGUCAUCUGUGCUUUGCUGCUGAAGAUUCUACUGAUCAUAUUUUCCUUCAAUGUCCUUUCUCUACACAAGUUUGGGAUUGGUUUAAUCAGCUGUUGCCUUGGAAUGUGCCUGUAGUUCAGACUAAGCACCAGUUGGUUGUUUGGCUAUGACAAAUAAAAAUUCAGAAUCUGCUCCACAGGUUUUAUAGAAGACUUAUUACCACUGCUUUGUGGAAAAUAUGGAUGGAAAGGAAUUCUAGGUUACAUGACCAAGGGAUAAGACAUGCAGAGGAAGUUGCUAUAGCUGGAUUGGUGGGAGGUUUUGGAGCUGAUGGGAUUCUCUUCGACUGCUCUGCCUUUUGGUUCUCUUCACCGGAAGUGGAGAUUUUCUAUUUUUGUUGCUUUGUCCUUCUAGUGAGGGGGGUAUGCCCCCUCUGUUUGAUCAUGUACUCCAUGUUUUAUCCAUGAUAUGCAUAAUCUCGGGUAGGGAAAUUAAGAUGUUGGGUCGUGCUGUCUACCCGUCCAUAUAUACCUAUUCUCUUUCCCAUCCGAAUCUAGUGUGAGAUGAGCAGAGAUGAGCCCCUCGAACACUAGUCCGGAAAAUUGUUUUAUGAUUACCAUGUCUUUUUAUUAUUAUUACUACUUAUUGAAGUAGAAGAGAGAACAUGUUAAUGAACAAGACUGUUUGCCUACUUGGUACCUCCUUUAUAUUUUAGUCGAAUCUUUUCCUCUUAUUUAUUCUA